AUUGAACGCUGGCGGCAGGCCUAACACAUGCAAGUCGAGCGGAUGAAGGGAGCUUGCUCCUGGAUUCAGCGGCGGACGGGUGAGUAAUGCCUAGGAAUCUGCCUGGUAGUGGGGGAUAACGUCCGGAAACGGGCGCUAAUACCGCAUACGUCCUGAGGGAGAAAGUGGGGGAUCUUCGGACCUCACGCUAUCAGAUGAGCCUAGGUCGGAUUAGCUAGUUGGUGGGGUAAAGGCCUACCAAGGCGACGAUCCGUAACUGGUCUGAGAGGAUGAUCAGUCACACUGGAACGGAGACACGGUCCAGACUCCUACGGGAGGCAGCAGUGGGGAAUAUUGGACAAUGGGCGAAAGCCUGAUCCAGCCAUGCCGCGUGUGUGAAGAAGGUCUUCGGAUUGUAAAGCACUUUAAGUUGGGAGGAAGGGCAGUAAGUUAAUACCUUGCUGUUUUGACGUUACCAACAGAAUAAGCACCGGCUGACUUCGUG
rnacentral:rRNA from 1 species